rnacentral:lncRNA from 1 species
UUCUUUCUUUCUUUCUUUCUUUUUUUUUUUUGAGGUUCCCAUCUCACUGUUGGUCAUAUGCAUUUUCUCUUUGGAAAAAUAUCUGUUUACUUCUUCUGUCCAUUUUCUAAUUGGACUCUUAGUUUUAUUUAGGUUGAGUUGUAUGAGCAGUUUAUAUAUUUGAUGUUAACCCCUUAUUGUUUAUAUAAUUUGGGAGAAAACUACUAUUUUUUUUUUUGUGGGAACAUUGUAUAUUCUUUAUAUCCAGGUUUUUUUUAAAUUUAAUCUUUACUAUAAACAUUUAAUCUUUUCUAUUGAAUAAAAUUUUAGACCUUUGAUUCUAUGAACCCCCAAUAUAACAUCCAUGUUAUAUGUUAAAAUACAAAUAGUCUUUGGUUAACAAUUUAAAUAUUCAUAUUUUUUAAAGUAAUAUAUACACAUAUCAAUUUAACAAAUAUGCCGUGACUUUUAUGUACUUUAUUACUAACACAUAUAGUGAUCUGUAAAAUUUCUGAACACUCAGUAGAUCAACUUUCAGAAAAUAGUAGCAAUUAUUAUUUUUCCUGGAAUGUUUCCUAUCUUGCAUGGUAAUUUCAGAAGAAAGUAUUUACUUAUUAAAAGACAUAUUAAAGCCAUAAGUUACUAUAUUAUCAUCAAUAUUUCAAUUUUUUUGUUUUGUGUUUUGGUUCACUAGCUGAAUAAAGCUUCUGCUUUUUACAGCUAAAAGGAUUAGGAUGGAGGAAAUUAAGAAAAUAAAUUAGUGGAGUUUCCAUUGUGGCUCAGUGGGUUAAGGACCUGAUGUUGUCUCCAUGAAGAUGCAGUUUCUAUCCCUGGACUCAUUCAGUGGGUUAAGGAUCUUGCAUUUCAUCAAGAAAUUAAUAGUUACUUUUCUGUAGUCUCACACAGAUGAGUCUUUAAGUACCCCUCCCCUGAUAUGGUUAAUAAUUGCAUUAUUUUCCAAGGGUUUCUAUAACAAAGUAACAUAAUCUGAGUUGCUUUAAAACAGCAGAAAUUUUUUUCUCUCACUCUUCAGGAGGCUAGAAAUCUGAAAUCAAGGUGUGAGCCGGGCCACGCUCACUCCAAAACCUCUAGGAGAACAUCCUUUUUUGUCUCUUCCAACUUUGUGUAGCCUCAGGUGUUUUCUGGCUUGUGGGCAUACAACUCCAAUUCUUACUUCUGGUGUCACAUGACAGUCUUUUCCCUGCCUCUGUAUUCUCCUCUUUCUAUAAAGAGACAAUCGUAUUUAAUUAGGGCCCACUGUAAUGACCUCAUCUUAAAUUAGUGACAUCUGCAAAGAACUCUCUUUUUAAGGUUUUUAUUAUAGAUGAUUUACAAUGUUUCUUCAAUUUCUGUUGUAUAGCAAAGUGACCCUAUCACAUACACAGUUCCCAGUGAUGUACUGUAGGGCCUCAUUGCCCAUCCAUUCUAAAUAUAGCAGUUUGCAUCCACAAACCCUGAACUGCCAUCCAAAACUCUCUUUUAAAAUAAGGUCACAUUCACCCAGAGUAAGGAUUAGCACUUCAUUGUAUCUUUUGGAGGGGAUAUAAUUCAGCCCAUAACAAUGACCAACUAAUUAAUUUUAUCACAAGAUCAAUCUUGCUUAAAUACAUUGAGGUAUUUUUGCAUUAGAGUCAAAAAAUCAAUAUAUAUUGGCUAAAUAUUUUUUAAAUAGCCAGAGAAGCAAUAAUAGAUAAAAAAUUCUGAAUUUAUACACAUUCAAAGGUUUUAUCUCUUGUACAGGUGAUUUAUAAUUCAUACUUAGUUGCCCAAAGACUUCAGAGGAUUGAGAUAAUGCAGACACAGCACCUCAGACCAUGAUUCCAUAGGAAUGAUCUGAAGCUCCCUGUCCAAAGUGAGGCCAAAAGACCAGCAGCAUUUACAUCAUUUUGAAGGGUAUUAGAAAUGAAGAAUCUAGGACCUUGCUCAAGUCCUAUUGAAUUAGUAUCUUCAUUUUAAUAGAAUACCUAGGAAAUGCAUACUCAUAUCAAACAUAGAGAAGUGCUUCUCUAGAGAAUUAUUUUGUCUUUUAACUAACUGUAAGGUUAUAAAAAUUUCUUGUCCCCUGAUAAUGUUUUGCCUUUGCCUAAUAUAAAAGUUAAAAUAAUAGGCUAAUCAAUUUAAAUAUAAAAAACAAAGAUAAUUAUACUAUUUUGUGUAAUUGCUUCAAUAGCUUCAUUAUCCCACAUGUUUUAUUCCAAUCUUCUGUUGAAUCUACUUCAUCAAACUUAUUCAAAAUAAUUGGUGUAACCAUAGGAAAAUUUAAAACAUCAUAUAGUUUAUUGUUCUUCUUAUUUGGUUUAUUAACCGAUAUUCAAUUUUAAGAGACUGUUCCAAUAACCAUCAUUAACAAUUGUUUUUAUGAGUAUUAAAAUAGUCAUAGUUACACUGCAACUCAUAGUAGCUAACAUAUUUAUAAAGGUAUAGUAUUUUCUAAUAUCUCUUCCAAUGGAGCACAAAUGUCUAAUAAUUUGUAAAAAUGUGAGCCUUUUUAUAUUCACACAAUAAAAUCAACAAUUAUUUUAAUGUAUUAUGUAGUUUUUAAAGACCUCUUCCAUAUUUACUUAGUCUAAGCUACAUGGUAAUUGAAAUAUUUUAUCUAGGAGAAAUUAUCACUAAACAAAUCAAUGUAAUUUUUUUAAUUUGAAGUAUUCAUUUUGAUAUUGCACAAAACAAACUUUGCAGAGGUUAUAUUUAACUUUCUUUCUAAAAUAUUACAAAUUAAAAACAGUUGAAAACUGUGUUUCUACAUGGAAUAUUUUUGAGCUGCCUGCCUAGAAAUCCUAGGGAAUACAUUUUUAAUUGGAUAAUCUUUAAUCUAUUUUAUUUGAACCUAGGUUUGACUUGGACAAUUACACCAAAAAAGAAUGUAGCAUAAGUAAGUGUAAACAAUACGAUUAAGAUUGUUUUGAGAGUAUUGAUAAACCAGGACUAAUAAGACAUGAUGAAAGAUGCAGUGUUAUUUAUAUACAUGGAGUGAGAUUAAAAAAAGAAGACAGUUUAAAUUUCCCUUUGGUGAUUAUUUCAGGAAGAUUUAUAGCAGUUUGUUCUUGUAUUCAAAUGUAUUUUUUUACUCCAGGUCAUUUGAAAAAUCAUGUCAAAAUUUCCUUACUUUUCUACUGCUGCCAAACCAUUUACCACAAAUUUAGAAGUUUAAAAUAGCACUCCAUUUAUUAUCACUUCAUUUCCCUGAGUCAGAUAACUGGGUAUGGGUACUGGAUCCUCUCUUCAGGGUCUUAUCAGCAGGAAAUUAAGAUAUCAGCCAAUGCUGUGAUAUCACAUUAGGUUCCAGACAUCUUCCAAAUUCAUUGAUUAUUGGCAAAAUUUGGUUCCUUGUGCUGGUAGGAUCAAGGUUUUCAUUGUUUUGUCUAGCUGUCAACUGGUGAUCAUCUUCAACACCCAGAGGAUGCCUAUCAUUUCUUGUCAUGUUUCCCUGUCUACAUUAUGGCAGUUUACUCCUUCAAGGCCCACAGGAGGGCAUCUAUUGCAUCUUUGUAUAUCUCUGACCUCUCCUUCUGACAUCUAGAGUCUUUUUUGAAAGGACUAAUCAGAUUAGCCUACCAUAUUCAAGGGGAGCCUGUUAUACAGGGCAUGCACAGCAGGAGCCAUCUUAGAAAUCUGUCUGUUAUAAAGGUCAUUGUCAGUUUCUACCUUAGGAUUCUAAGUUUCAGGUCAAAGGAUGGCAGUCAUCUAUAGUAGCAACUAUAUGGUACUCCAUGUAUUUCAGCUUUAACAUAUAUAAUUCAGUUUUCAUUGUACUCAGAUCCAGAAGACAGUAUACCUCUUUGACACUAUGUAUAAUCAAAAUUCAUUUGUUAUUUCGGAGUAUAUUAGACAUAUAUAUGUCUAAUUAGUAAUUAUGCUAAUUAUAUGUGGUUUAUUAUAUUAGACCAUGAUUAUAUGCUUCAAUUAUACUUGGAAGUGCUUGGAUGAAAAGUAAAUGUUCAACUUCUGUGAGGCUUUGAGGGUUUUUUUUUUUUUGGAUUUGAGAUGAAUGGACAGGCACUAUAAAAUUUGGAGUCUUGAUUUGCUUUUGCUGGACACAGCUAUACUACAGAACUUCAUGCCAUUUUUAAAAGCCAACUAAUUGCCAGUUUUUCAGAGGUGUCUUUGGUUUGUAAGACGGUAUCUAGGCUUACAUAUCUCUAUGGAGAGUUAAAUAUCCCAUGAUUUUUAGAAAUUUUCAUCAUUGUCAAAUGUCCAACGAGUCAAUAAGACUCAGAAGAAAUCUAAAUUAUAAUCUUGACUUUAAAAUAUAAUCAUUCCAUCUACCUAAAUCUGUUUAGAAACAUGUAGGGUGUAUAUAAUUGAAUACUGUACUUAGUCAUUUUAUACUUGAAUAAGAAACCUUGAAUCUUUGGAACCCAUUUCCUUCUUCAAAAGUAUAAACAUUAAUGAAACUGCACUUAAGAGCAGACAUAGGCUAAACCCAACAGAUUUAUCUUUAUCCAUAGAUAAAAGAGAAUUUAAAUCAAAAGACUACAGAAAUUACCAGUUAAUCGUGUACAUUUUGAACUUGCUAGAAUUUCAAGAGAGUUCACUCUGCUAAUUUUACAUCUUUCCAGUUACAUUUAUCUGCAUGUAGAUAGAAUCAUCCUGCCAGAUAUUUGAUGUAAGUGAAAAAUGAAUUCAAAUAAUAUGGGAGAUGAGGCAGCCUUCAGAGAGCAAGAUUCUUAUAUAUGGUCUAAGGAAAUGAAGUAUUUUUCAGAAAUAAUUUUGGUAAUGCAUUCAGAAAUGAGUUUAAAUGUUAUUUUUUAAAAACAUUUCAUUUUUAAAUUAAAAAUAUCUAGGGGAACAUUUAAUUGGAUGGAAUUUUACAGAGUCAAAUUAUCGAUGUGAUCAUUGAAUCAAAGCUGUGUUAUUUGUUACUUACAAAAUAUAGAGCCUAAUGAAAUUUUUUUUAAUUUAAAAAAUAAUACACUUUUUAAAUGUAAACAGAUAUAUAUUGACAUUUUGUUAUCUUCUUUAGGUUUUUAUUUU